UUCUUUCUAUCUUAAAGCGAUGAUGAGAUGUAGCAUGCCGAUGCCCAUGUCAUUGACAGUGAGCAAUAGCAUGCCGAUGGCCAAGUCACGGAUGUUUGGAUUCUUUGGCGGAAAUAAGACAAGUAAGUAAU